CUCAAGAAUCCCUACCUACCAUGGAUAAAUAAACAUCACUGAUAAGGAGCUGAUAAGCUGCUACUCGGUUAAUAGCAACUUUACACUCUUCAGAAGAGGGAAGGUGGGCCUCGUGUUCCAUCUCAGCGUUAGGGAAAUCCAGCCAUAAGAAGUAACACCUACUAAGGUAAGGGAUUUCUUAAAUACUAACAGGAAGAUAGCCAGCCCGCUUCUUAUAAAACGAAAUUCCCUUAAACUGAGAUUAACAGCUACUAAUCUACCAAUGAGCACAUUGUUUCCAGAUGAAAGAACCAAUCAAGUCAGAGAAAAUAGUGAAGAAAGAGGGGGUUAGCGCUUUUACUAACCCAGUCAGUGUUGAGUGUUUUCUCUGUGAUUGUGGUUUGAGAAGGCUGAUAUAUACCAUGAGUAGUGAGGCAUCAACAGAAAGGAUGCAUUUCCUUUAAUUGUUUUCCUUUCUUCAGAAAGUAUUAUGGCACCGCAUGCUGGAUCCCAUGGCGAAUCUAAGAAAACUGGCUAAAAUGCAUUUUGUCUAUGAGGGACCAUACAUCUCCGUCCUUUCUCUGUAAGACCCCAACACACAUAACUGAUCUCAAGGUGGGAUAUGAUGGGAGUUCUGAGAUGUCAACACCAUAUUCAGCAAGGUGAAUAGUGCUGGGAAUACGCUGAACCAGUGAGACAACAAGGUGAGUUUGUGUGAGAGUCGGGUCUUAAAAACUACUUUAUCUCACCCUCAGCUUCCCCCUCUUCUUAUAUUUGACCAGGCCUGUUAUGACACUGAAGAUACAGGAAUACCUUCUUCUGCCAAGUUCUUCUCAGAGCAGGCUGAGAUGAAAAGGGAGCAUGCAAAGCGAUUCCUAAGAUAUCUAAGAAAACGUGAGAGUAUGAUCUGCCUUCCAGUUACUAAGGAAGCAGAAUGCAACAAAACUGUGCCUGAAGUAGAAAAGCGACUCUCCUGUUCAUCUCCAAUAGAGGCCUGACAGAAAUAACCGGGGAAGUGGCUUACAAGCCCUGAAAUCCGCUCUGCAGUUGGAGAACAUGUUAACCGAUGUCCUCCAGGACCUGAAAACCACAGCUUCUAAGGAUGAAGAAACUGAGCUCAUAAACGUCGUAAUGGAGUUCCUACAUAAACAGGGAACAAACAUAGCUUUUUUGGAACAUGGACAGAAGGUAUUAGAAGAGUUUCUCCAACAGAAAGGCCCAUCUGAAAAGUCUGCUAAGACAUCAGGUGAAGAGACUUAACUUCUGAAGGCAGCACAGCAAGUCUUCCCAUUGUAGUGAUCCCAGAGUCAGCUACUUAAGUCCUGAUCAGUUCCACUUGCCUGAAGACUGCUUUGCUUUUUAUAUAGUUUCCUAACUCUCUUCGCUAUGCAUGCAAAUAAAUCUUCUUUGUAUUAUAAUUAUGUAUAAGCAGAUUGUGCUCCAACAGCAAUGUGGAUUCGGUAUAAAAAGCUUCCUGAGAUGGUGGGUGCAUUCAGUUAAAAAAAAUCUUUCCUCUACCAUGCCCCUACCCCACCUUGACACCCAGAGUCAGGAUUUGGUAAAUGCAAGCAGUACAGGUGAAUAUACUAGAAAUUAAGUGGUGAAACCUUACCUCUUAAUGUUCUCUUCUUAUUUGUAUAUGUACUUUAAAGUUAUGAUAGGGGUUCCUUCAUAUUAAUGCAGAGCUAAGAUUAAAACAAUUCUCGGUCUAGAAAAUUGACCUUCACCUGAAGGAUGUGCAAUGCCUUUUCGUAGUCAGGGGUAGGUGUGGGCUGCAGGAGGGUACACAGAGGUAAUUCAUGCAUUGCAGCUAAAUGUGUGGAUGCCUCUACCCAUUGCACUGUAAGCCAAUUAGCUACCAAUGUAAUCAUUUUCAGGGGCAAAGAAUAAGCAUGCAAGCUUGAAUCAGGUUUCUCAGGGCCUCAAAUGACUGGUACUCCCUGGGAAGAAAUAGGGGCUCAAUGGGAUUGUAUGCAGGCUCCAAAACUUAUUAACUCCUUGGCCUUGAGCUUUUACUUUCUCAUUGCCUCAGUUGGGUCAUCUGUAAAGUGGAGUGUAUUAGGGUUUUCUAGAGGCACAGAAUUAAUGGAAUAGAAAUAUAUAAAGGGGAUUUUAUUAAAUUUUAACCCACAUAAUCACAGGUCCCAUAAUAGGCUGUCUACAGGCUGAGAAGCAAGGAGAGACAGUCCAACUUCCAAAACUGAAGAACUUGGAGUCCACAUCUGGUACAGCAGCUGCAAUGGGAGUCACCACUUGGUUAAGCUUACAGUAAUUCACUGUCAUUCUCCAAGAUCCAUCUGUCUUCUGCACAGGCCAUAUGGGAGAAUUGAAUGGGGAUGUGAUGGGAAUGAUCACCCCUGCAUCUUUCAAAUCCUUGAAAGGAGAUUGGUGGCACUAAUCUCCACAAUCCCUGCAGAGAUGUGAUACUGUUUUUGAUUUACUAUUCUUGUAGAUAGAGGCAGCUCUAAUGGCUUCCAUUUGACCUUUCCCAUCUUAAUAGUUCUCACUCUACCAGUCAAGGAGCCAAUGUGGGGGUUCUGCCAGCUGCUAAUUAUGUCUAUGCCAAUUAUGCCUUCUGGCACCGGGGAAAUGACCACAGGAUGAGUCUGGGGACCCACUGGACCUAGUGUAAGUUGGACCUGAGCUAAAACUCCAUUACUUCCCUGACCUCCAUAAGCCCUUUAACUGGAGGACCAGCAAUGAUGUUUUGGGUCCCCUGGAAUCAACGUCAACUCAGAGCCAGUGUCCAGUAGUCUCCAAAAUGUCUGAUCAUAUCCCUUUCCCCAAGGCACAGUUACCUUGGUAAAAGGCUCCAUAAGGGGAAAGAAGGGAGAUUCGCUGCAUAAAUUGUUGGCAAUGUAGUGGAGGUCCUUCUUCAAGGGGACCAAGCCUCUCUUUCAUUCAAGGGGUUCUGGACCCAUAAACUGGCUCAAGUCUAGAAAUUGGUUGAGGGGCUGUGAUUCUGUUUUCAUAAUUAGAAUUAGUCUUUUUUCCAUUAAACCUAGAUGUUUUCUUCUUGCAUAAAUUAAGUAGUUCCCAUUGAGCUGCAACAUUACAGGCAAAGUCCCUACUUAAAGGGUCCAAAUUAAAAAAUUUAGCCUGAUCCAACUUUAUGUUCCUUCCACCAUUAUCCCAGACCGUUAAUAUCCACCAUGCCUGUUCUCCAGAUUUCCGUUUAUAUAAAUUAGAAAACUCAAGCAGUUAUUUUCAAGUGUAGCCCACCUUCUCAUGGGUCACAGUCUCAACCUCACCUCUAGGAGCCUGCCAGGGCUUUAGUCUAAUUAUAGGUCUAGAAGCAAACAGGGGUAUUGGGGGUGGCUCCUGAGGAGAAUCAACAUCAUCUUCCCUGGCAACUCCCUGAGGAGGCCAUCACUGUUGCGUCAGGUAGCACAGGGUUUAUCUCCUCAGACAAAGGUGGAAAGGCUGAUGGCAGCAUGGGCCAGGGAGGGGAUAUGGCCACUACUCAGAAUGGGGAAGCUGUUUCUUCUGGCAAAAAAGUUCCGUCAGAGUUAACAAGCUCAGUGUCCCCAGCUUCAUCAGGGUCCUCCCACACAUUCCCCCUUCCAAGUUGCAGGGUCCCAUUCUUUUCCAAUCAAUACCCUCACUUUAACAGUGGACACCUGGUGAGGCUGUGCAUGCACUUUCAUUGCAGGUCAGCCAUUCUCCUGAUAACAGCUUGUGUCUGUUUUUCCAAAUUUCAGCUCUUUCUCUACAGGAGAUAAGACUCUCAC